rnacentral:rRNA from 1 species
AGAGUUUGAUCCUGGCUCAGGAUGAACGCUAGCGGCAGGCUUAACACAUGCAAGUCGAGGGGCAGCAUAAUGGAUAGCAAUAUCUAUGGUGGCGACCGGCGCACGGGUGCGUAACGCGUAUGCAACCUACCUUUAACAGGGGGAUAACACUGAGAAAUUGGUACUAAUACCCCAUAAUAUCAUAGAAGGCAUCUUUUAUGGUUGAAAAUUCCGAUGGUUAGAGAUGGGCAUGCGUUGUAUUAGCUAGUUGGUGGGGUAACGGCUCACCAAGGCGACGAUACAUAGGGGGACUGAGAGGUUAACCCCCCACACUGGUACUGAGACACGGACCAGACUCCUACGGGAGGCAGCAGUGAGGAAUAUUGGUCAAUGGACGCAAGUCUGAACCAGCCAUGCCGCGUGCAGGAUGAAGGUGCUAUGCAUUGUAAACUGCUUUUGUACGAGGGUAAACGCAGAUACGUGUAUCUGUCUGAAAGUAUCGUACGAAUAAGGAUCGGCUAACUCCGUGCCAGCAGCCGCGGUAAUACGGAGGAUCCGAGCGUUAUCCGGAUUUAUUGGGUUUAAAGGGUGCGUAGGCGGUUUGAUAAGUUAGAGGUGAAAUUUCGGGGCUCAACCCUGAACGUGCCUCUAAUACUGUUGAGCUAGAGAGUAGUUGCGGUAGGCGGAAUGUAUGGUGUAGCGGUGAAAUGCUUAGAGAUCAUACAGAACACCGAUUGCGAAGGCAGCUUACCAAACUAUAUCUGACGUUGAGGCACGAAAGCGUGGGGAGCAAACAGGAUUAGAUACCCUGGUAGUCCACGCAGUAAACGAUGAUAACUCGUUGUCGGCGAUACACAGUCGGUGACUAAGCGAAAGCGAUAAGUUAUCCACCUGGGGAGUACGUUCGCAAGAAUGAAACUCAAAGGAAUUGACGGGGGCCCGCACAAGCGGAGGAACAUGUG